AAACUGACCACUAUAAAAGUGGAGAGUAGCUGACCACCAUCAUUGUUUAAACUUCUGUUGACAAGAAAUCAUACCAAGCACCAUGAGAACUUUCAUCGCUCUCGCCAUCUUGGCUGUUACCAUCGUCUGUGUAAACUCAGAGGGGUGCCGAAGCAAUUCCGACUGUGAAAACGGAUUAACAACGUGCGCAGCCAACCACGCCCUGACCUGCCAUAACCGUGCCUGUUACUGCGAGUCUCAAACCACCAACACCGGAAGCACAUGUGUGAGCAAAUCUGACUGUCCUUCCACUGCCAACUGCCACAACGGACGCGGUAACUACCAUUGUGUCGACGCUAAGUGCAGAUGUUUCUACUUCUAAGAACACCUAAUCGUUUGGAAACCGUCUGAGUUUUCUUCUUGAAUUCAUUAUUUUCGUUGUAUAUUUAUUAUUUAUUUAUUUAUUGAAUAAAGAAUAAACAAUUAAUA